rnacentral:rRNA from 1 species
CCUACGGGUGGCAGCAGUGAGGAAUAUUGGUCAAUGGACGAGAGUCUGAACCAGCAAAGUAGCGUGAAGGAUUACUGCCCUAUGGGUUGUAAACUUUUUUUAUAAAGGAAUAAAACGUGGCACGUGCUCCUUUUUGCAUGUACUUUAUGAAUAAGCAUCGGCCAACUCCGUGCCAGCAGCCGCGGUAAUACGGAGGAUUCGAGCGUUAUCCGGAUUGAUUGGGUGUAAAGGGAGCGUAGUUGGGUUGAUAAGUCAGUUGUGAAAGUUUGAGGCUCAACCUUAAAAUUGCAAUUGAUACUGGUAGUCUUGAGUACAGUUGAGGGAAGCGGAAUUCGUGGUGUAGCGGUGGAAUGCUUAGAUAUCACGAAGAACCCCGAUUGCGAAGGCAGCUUACUAAACUGUGACUGACAUUGAUGCUCGAAAGCGUGGGGAGCAAACAGGAUUAGAUACCCGAGUAGUC